rnacentral:rRNA from 1 species
GUGAACGCUGGCGGUAGGCCUAACACAUGCAAGUCGAACGGCAGCACAGUAAGAGCUUGCUCUUACGGGUGGCGAGUGGCGGACGGGUGAGGAAUACAUCGGAAUCUACUUUUUCGUGGGGGAUAACGUAGGGAAACUUACGCUAAUACCGCAUACGACCUACGGGUGAAAGCAGGGGAUCUUCGGACCUUGCGCGAUUGAAUGAGCCGAUGUCGGAUUAGCUAGUUGGCGGGGUAAAGGCCCACCAAGGCGACGAUCCGUAGCUGGUCUGAGAGGAUGAUCAGCCACACUGGAACUGAGACACGGUCCAGACUCCUCCGGGAGGCAGCAGUGGGGAAUAUUGGACAAUGGGCGCAAGCCUGAUCCAGCCAUACCGCGUGGGUGAAGAAGGCCUUCGGGUUGUAAAGCCCUUUUGUUGGGAAAGAAAAGCAGCAGGUUAAUACCCCGCUGUUCUGACGGUACCCAAAGAAUAAGUACCGGCUAACUUCGUG